GAAAAGUCUAAAAUAAAUAGGAUGGCAAAAAGAGGCAGAAACUUUAAUUAUGCAAAAAAAAAAAUAAAACUAAAUAUGAGAAUAGAAUGUGCAGGAACGUGAAUUCUUGCAGCAAAAUGGGACAGAACUUGAACAAUUUAAACAGUUUAUUGCAAAAACCAAACGGUUUUUUCAGAUAAAUUAGCCUGCCAAUGCAGCUGGAAGGGGAUCAGUGUAAAUCUGAGUGCAGAAAUGUGUUAUUUAGUUACAGUAAUCAAAAAUAUUUGUCAUCUCAAAUACUAGCAACGACAAUCCUUCAGAAACAUUUUGUUCACGCUGCAGACGGAUCGCUAGAAGAAAAAGAUCCAAUUACAGUUCCUUUUUUAUUUAUUUAUUAAGAAUGUUGUUUAUAUUACACAU